UUGCUAUGAUGAAAUCAGUUUUUUCACCUGAGACACUGUGAAGAUUAAAUCUGAGCUUUUUAACCCUGAGCAAU